GACGAACGCUGGCGGCGUGCCUAAUACAUGCAAGUCGAGCGGAGUUAUUUUGGRAGCUUGCUUCCGAAAUAACUYAGCGGCGGACGGGUGAGUAAUACGUAGGCAACCUGCCUGUAAGACUGGGAUAACUGCCGGAAACGGUAGCUAAUACCGGAUAAAUCAUUUCGCCGCAUGGCGGGAUGCUGAAAGACGGAGCAAUCUGUCACUUACAGAUGGGCCUACGGCGCAUUAGCUAGUUGGUGGGGUAAAGGCCUACCAAGGCGACGAUGCGUAGCCGGCCUGAGAGGGUGAACGGCCACACUGGGACUGAGACACGGCCCAGACUCCUACGGGAGGCAGCAGUAGGGAAUCUUCCGCAAUGGACGAAAGUCUGACGGAGCAACGCCGCGUGAGUGAUGAAGGUUUUCGGAUCGUAAAGCUCUGUUGCCAGGGAAGAACGUCUUGGAGAGUAACUGCUCUGAGAGUGACGGUACCUGAGAAGAAAGCCCCGGCUAACUACGU
rnacentral:rRNA from 1 species